rnacentral:tmRNA from 52 species
GGGGCUGAUUCUGGAUUCGACGGGAUUUGCGAAACCCAAGGUGCAUGCCGAGGGGCGGUUGGCCUCGUAAAAAGCCGCAAAAAAUAGUCGCAAACGACGAAAACUACGCUUUAGCAGCUUAAUAACCUGCUUAGAGCCCUCUCUCCCUAGCCUCCGCUCUUAGGACGGGGAUCAAGAGAGGUCAAACCCAAAAGAGAUCGCGUGGAAGCCCUGCCUGGGGUUGAAGCGUUAAAACUUAAUCAGGCUAGUUUGUUAGUGGCGUGUCCGUCCGCAGCUGGCAAGCGAAUGUAAAGACUGACUAAGCAUGUAGUACCGAGGAUGUAGGAAUUUCGGACGCGGGUUCAACUCCCGCCAGCUCCACC